UGUAAAAUCUAUUUUUGCAUUUUCAGAUAAAAAUGCACGCGUGCGCACAAUACAUGAAUAGCUUAGCUGGGCGCAUUUAAACAUGUAUAUAACAAAACAGGAAUAAAACUUUUCAAAUUAUGAAACAAAAAGUUAAUACAGUGAUGGGAAUACUUUUUAGUUUAAUUACCUAAUGGAAUAAUUUGAUAGUGAAUGUUUAAAAGAAUUUUAAAGGAAUGAUAUCUUUCCUCAUUUUUCUGAAUAUGAAGUUUGUUUUUUAACAACCAUGAUGUAAGUAAAUCAUGAUGUGUUGUUCCCUCAAAGAUCGACAGUCCACAUGUGCUGUGUCGAUCGGAGGAUAUUCCUUUGGUUGUUCGUUCCUAUAGAA